rnacentral:rRNA from 1 species
ACGGCUCAGUAACACGUGGACAACCUGCCCUUAGGUUGGGUAUAAACCCGGGAAACUGGGUAUAAUACCCGAUAGGUCUCGAUUGCUGGAAUGCAUCGAGAUUUAAAGCUCCGGCGCCUAAGGAUGGGUCUGCGGCCUAUCAGGUAGUAGUGGGUGUAGCGUACCUACUAGCCUACGACGGGUACGGGUUGUGAGAGCAAGAGCCCGGAGAUGGAUUCUGAGACACGAAUCCAGGCCCUACGGGGUGCAGCAGGCGCGAAAACUUUACAAUGCUGGCAACAGCGAUAAGGGAACCUCGAGUGCCAGGUUACAAAUCUGGCUGUCGAGAUGCCUAAAAAGCAUUUCAUAGCAAGGGCCGGGCAAGACCGGUGCCAGCCGCCGCGGUAACACCGGCGGCUCGAGUGGUAACCGUUAUUAUUGGGUCUAAAGGGUCUGUAGCCGGCCGGAUAAGUCUCUUGAGAAAUCUGGCAGCUUAACUGUCAGGCUUUCAGGAGAUACUGUCUGGCUCGAGGCCGGGAGAGGUGAGAGGUACUUCAGGGGGUAGGGGUGAAAUCUUGUAAUCCUUGAAGGACCACCAGUGGCGAAGGCGUCUCACCAGAACGGACCUGACGGCAAGGGACGAAAGCUAGGGGCACGAACCGGAUUAGAUACCCGGGUAGUCCUAGCCGUAAACGAUACUCGCUAGGUGUCGGCCACGGUGCGACCGUUGUCGGUGCCGUAGGGAAGCCGUGAAGCGAGCCACCUGGGAAGUACGGCCGCAAGGCUGAAACUUAAAGGAAUUGGCGGGGGAGCACA